GGUGAAAGUUACAAAGGGCGCACGGGGGAUGCCUAGGCUUCCGAAGGCGAAGAAGGACGUGCCAAGCUGCGAAAAGCUACGGGGAGCCGCACAGGGGCCUUGAUCCGUAGGUAUCCGAAUGGGGAAACCCACUCCGCGAGGAGUACACCGCAAGGUGAGCGAACCUCCUGAACUGAAACAUCUAAGUAAGGAGAGGAGAAGAAAACAAGAGUGAUUUCGCAAGUAGUGGCGAGCGAACGCGAAGAAGCCCAAACCUGGGACGUUACGGCGUUACAGGGGUUGUAGGACCACGUUGUGAGACCUUUUUAUCAUAGGAGAACAGUCUGGGAAGGCUGGCCGUAGAGGGUGAAAGUCCCGUAUCCGGCAUGAUGGAAGGCUCUAGUGGUAUCCUGAGUAGGGCGGGGUCGGAGACGCCCCGUUCGAAUCGAGCGGCACCAUCCGCUAAGGCUAAAUACUCUCGGAAGACCGAUAGUGGACAAGUACCGUGAGGGAAAGGUGAAAAGGACCCAGGGUAUGGGAGUGAAAAGAACCUGAAACCGUGCGCUUGCAAGCGGUCGGAGCAGACUUGAUCUGUGACGGCGUGCCUUUUGCAUAAUGAGCCUACGAGUUACGGUAACCGGCGAGGUUAAGGUGCUUGAGCACCUGGAGCCGAAGCGAAAGCGAGUCCUAAUAGGGCGGUUUUAGUCGGUUGCUGUAGACGCGAAACCUGAGUGAUCUACCCAUGGCCAGGUUGAAGCUUCCUUAACCGGAAGUGGAGGACCGAACCGGUAAACGUUGAAAAGUUUUCGGAUGAGCUGUGGGUAGGGGUGAAAGGCUAAUCAAACUGGGAAAUAGCUCGUACUCUCCGAAAUGCCUUUAGGGGCAGCGUCAGAGUUGAUGUGGGCGGAGGUAGAGCUACCGAUAGGACUAGGGGGAGUCGCAUCCUACCAAAUCCUGACGAACUCCGAAUGCCGCCCAACUGUAUCUGGCAGUGAGGGCUGGGGUGCUAAGGUCCCAGUCCGAGAGGGAAAGAACCCAGACCAUCGGCUAAGGUCCUCAAAUCAUGACUAAGUUGAACAAAGGCGGUGCGGCUGCAGUGACAGCCAGGAUGUUGGCUUGGAAGCAGCCAUUCAUUCAAAGAGUGCGUAACAGCUCACUGGUCGAGCGGCCGCGCAUCGAUAAUGAACGGGCAUCAAGUCAUGUACCGAAGCCAUGGAUUGUACGGUUGACGUACAGUGGUAGGAGAGCAUUCUGCACAGCGAUGAAGGUUAAUGGGGCAACCCGGGCUGGAGCGUGCAGAAAAGCAAAUGUAGGCAUAAGUAACGAUAAGGGGAGCGAGAAACUCCCCCACCGUAAGACCAAGGGUUCCUAGAUCAACGUUAAUCGGAUCAGGGUCAGUCGGGACCUAAGGGGUUAGCGAGAGCGAAGCUUCGAUGGCAAACGGGUGAAUAUUCCCGUACCUGCGCUGGGUUAGCCCACGUUGACGGAGUCGAAAAGAUCCUGCGUGCUGACGGAAUAGCACGUUGAAGAGGCGGUAAGCGCCUCGAUAGUACCGGCGAGCCUUCGGGCUCAAGGAUAUGGAUCGGCCAGGCUUCCAAGAAAAGACGUGCAAGCGUACCAGCCAGCCCGUACCGUAAACCGACACAGGUGGUCGGGUAGAAUAUACCAAGGUGCUCGAGUGAAUCACGGCUAAGGAACUCGGCAAAAUAACCCUGUAACUUCGGGAGAAGGGGGGCCUACCGGUAACGGAGGCUGCAAGAGAAUGGCCCAGGCGACUGUUUACCAAAAACACAUGGCUUUGCAAAAACGAAAGUUGACGUAUAAGGCCUGACACCUGCCCGGUGCUGGAAGGUUAAGAGGGGGGGUUAGCCGCAAGGCGAAGCUCUGAAUCGAAGCCCCAGUAAACGGCGGCCGUAACUAUAACGGUCCUAAGGUAGCGAAAUUCCUUGUCGGGUAAGUUCCGACCUGCACGAAUGGUGUAACGAUCUGGGCGCUGUCUCAGCCGUGAGCUCGGUGAAAUUGUAGUAGCGGUGAAGAUGCCGCUUACCCGCAACGGGACGAAAAGACCCCGUGCACCUUUACUAUAGCUUUACGCUGGUUGCGGCCAAGGGAUGUGUAGGAUAGGCGGGAGGCUAUGAAGCGGUGUCGCUAGGCAUCGUGGAGUCAACCUUGAAAUACCGCCCUUCGCUUGGUUGCAACCUAACUCGAGAUUUGAGGACACCGUAUGGUGGGUAGUUUGACUGGGGUGGUCGCCUCCAAAAAGGUAUCGGAGGCUUCCAAAGGUAGGCUCAGUACGCUUGGUAACCGUACGGAGAGUGCAAUAGCAUAAGCCUGCUUGACUGUGAGGCCGACAAGCCGAUCAGGUCGGAAACGAGGGUAUAGUGAUCCGGUGGCACUGCAUGGAAGGGCCAUCGCUCAU
rnacentral:rRNA from 1 species